UGUAGCAGUUGGCCUCUAGAUGGCUGCAGCGGCCAGAAGAGAUUCACAGAGCUGGGUAGCAAUCAGGAGGGACUGAUUGAAGGCAGGUGGGACUGAAGGGUGUGACUACUUAAAUCCAGCGGGCAAGCUCUACUAUGAGCAUUGAUUCCCUGGCCUGCUGGGACAGCACUGGCUGCCGUUUGUUUUAGUUGAUUUUACAUGUGCUGCGGCUGGAGCGUCCUUCUCUCACUGGUGUCGUCUGGGACUGGGAGUUCACAGACGGUGAUGUGGUUUGUGGUGCACGCAGUUUAUAGCAUGGUGUUUUUGUUUGGUAGUAAUUGGAUUUAUGUUUUGUUUGUAGUAUAACCCCAGUCCCGCCGCGGUGAGUGUCUGGGUUCUCGGCCGGAGCUCGACUGUCUAUCACCUUGUCUGUCUUUGCUGUGUUUUGAGGUUUUAGUCAUGUUUAAUAAACUGGCAUGUGUCUGACCCACACUGACCGUUGUGGCCUCAUAAUUGGAGCCCCUAUGUGCUACACCCAUUUCUGCACACCCACCCCAA